rnacentral:rRNA from 1 species
GACGAACGCUGGCGGCGUGCUUAACACAUGCAAGUCGAACGAAAAGGCCCUGCUUUUGUGGGGUGCUCGAGUGGCGAACGGGUGAGUAACACGUGAGUAACCUGCCCUUGACUUUGGGAUAACUUCAGGAGACUGGGGCGCAUACCGGAUAGGAGCUCCUGCUGCAUGGUGGGGGUUGGAAAGUUUCGGCGGUUGGGGAUGGACUCGCGGCUUAUCAGCUUGUUGGUGGGGUAGGGGCUUACCAAGGCUUUGACGGGUAGCCGGCCUGAGAGGGUGACCGGCGACAUUGCGACUGAGAGACGGCCCAGACGCGUACGGGAGGCAGCGGUGGGGAAUAUUGCAGAAUGGGCGGAAGCCUGAUGCAGCAACGCCGCGUGCGGGAUGACGGGCUUCGGGUUGUAAACCGCUUUCGCCUGUGACGAAGCGUGAGUGACGGUAAUGGGUAAAGAAGCACCGGCUAACUACGUG